rnacentral:tRNA from 1 species
GCAGGAAUGGCGGAACUGGUAUACGCGGCUGUCUUAGAAACAGUCUUUUGAGAGUUCGAAUCUCUCUUCCUGUAC